AUGGCCUGAAACAAUAGCGUCUGAGAUGGAAGCGAAACAGCAAGGUCCUCACUUUCCCUCAGUAACCACAACAACUGGAGGAGAUUCUGGCCUGAGUGAUGAAUCUGCAACCAAAUGGUACCCAGAUGGCAACUACAGCUGCUCUUUCUACCAGCCGCACCUCAGCUCAUCCAUCUUCAGGACACACCCAUGGCUGAGGAGGAGUGAGAAACUGAGUUGACAGAGCCAUCAGAGAAUCUCUUUUGCCUUCUGCAUUCUUUUCCUUCGAUCAUGUUCCUUGGGCUUCAGGCUUCUUGUUCUCACCUUCAUGCUGCCUCUGUGAUGACACAGAAAUGCUGCCUGCGAACCAGGGGACUGAUAGACGGGUGAAUUCAGAGAAAUGAAAAUCUGAAAAGUACACAAGUUAAACCACUGAGAAGAGCCAGACAGAGAAAUAAAAGGAAGGAUAGAAGAUCAAAAGAGAACAAUUGAGCCACAACCACAGGCUAAGGAGCCAAAGCUGCUGAAAUCUGGGGAGGAGCAGGGGUCAAUCGGGACUCUGUUCAGCACCAAAA